UACGUAGGGAGCAAGCGUUGUCCGGAAUCAUUGGGCGUAAAGCGCGCGUAGGCGGCCCGAUAAGUCCGCUGUGAAAGUCAACGGCUCAACUGUUGGAUGCCGGUGGAUACUGUCGGGAUAGAGUACGGAAGAGGCAAGUGGAAUUCCUGGUGUAGCGGUGGAAUGCGCAGAUAUCAGGAGGAACACCUAUAGCGAAGGCAGCUUGCUGGGACGUUACUGACGCUAAGGCGCGAAAGCGUGGGGAGCGAACAGG
rnacentral:rRNA from 1 species